GCCUCUCUCUCUCUCUCUAUCUCUUUCUCUCUCUAACUGUCUGUUCUCUGUUUCAAUAUAUUACAUAUGCAUAACAUCUCUCUCUCUCUUUUUCUCUCUCUAAAUAAAAUUGCCUUCUCUCUCUCUUUCUUUCUCUCAAUAUAUACACGAGGGAAGUAGUCACCUUUCAUUAUAUAAUGUAGCUAGCUGAGAGAAAAUUGCCGCUUCCUCACUCUAUUCUUCUUCAACUCAACUAUCGCGUCUCUCUUCCUUUCUCAAAAACAUCCAAGAUCCAACUCAAAUAGUGGCGGAGUUAGACCAUCACAUGCAAGUUUUCGCUUGAUUAGUAUUUUUCUUUUUUUUAUUUUUUAUUUUUUUGGACAAGUUCUGAGUGAUUGGAUCCUAAUCAUGAUCCAGGGAUUGCCAUCCAUUGUCGAUCAGGACAAGCCUAGGUAGGCACACACCUUCAAACGAAUCCUUUAAUUCCUUCCAAAACGCCUAACCCUAAAGUAGAAUGCAUCCCACGUGCCCCAACCAAAAAUGUCCCGAGGGGUUUUCUCCUCCAAAAGCCUGGAAGUUCCCAAAUGAACUUUCGUUCAUGGCGUCCUUAACAUGAGUGAAAGGAUGGAAUCAUCGAUAUCGCCAGUGUGAAGAUAAAGAAGGCUUUGGAAUUCAGUUGAAAAGGCUUUCGUCAAGCCUCUUGAACCAAUUCCUAAUGGGUUGUCCACCAGACCUUGAACCUGAAUAUGCUCAUGAACUUAAUGUCCCUUAGUUUGCUGAUAGGGAGAACGUCUCGUCUACUUGAUUGGCUAGCAUCAAAGCCGACGAAGCAGUCGACAAGUGACGGAGUGGCUAUGAUGCUAUCUGGAAUGUCGGAGAGAAUCAAAUGGUCGUUGGGCAGCAAGUUUGAUUUCUUAUUGUUCCGAAGCAAUAUGAUUUUGAUUACUUUAAUCUUUGAUUUAGAUGGUGACGGUAUCAGCCCAUUUACAUUAAUGUUUUGCUUUGGAUUAGUAUUUUUCUUUUUACGUCUUUUUGGCUUAUUUAUUGCUUUCUUAGUUUUGUUUGUU